AUCCAGGUGAUGUGGGGUAGAGUCCUACAAGUCUUA
rnacentral:tRNA from 1 species